rnacentral:lncRNA from 1 species
CCGAUGCAACGCAGCCACAGCCUGCUCUCCACAGGCCUCUCUGACCCUUUGGGAGGCUCAGCAUCUCAGACAGCUUCUGUUCAUUGAGUCAGGCCCUGUGGGAAGAGCUGGGAUAUGAAGUACAUAAGUCCCUGACUCUCUUUAAAUAGAAAACACACGAUAAAAACAAUGGGUAACUUGGAACACCUUCACUGCAUUAAACAGCCAUUUUCACACACCAUCUCCAUCCAGCCCCACAAGUCAUCGAAACUUCUCUCCAAUCUGACUUUGAAGUUGGGAUAGUGGCCAGUUGUAGUAGUCCCCUCAUCCACAGUUUCUCUUUCCACGGAUUCAAUUAUCCCCCAUCAACCAUGGUCAAGAAGUCAAUGAUUCUCCUUCUGGAGGUACCAUCAGAAGGUCAAGAGUAGCCUAAUGCUACAUCACAGUGCCUACAUCAUUCAUGUUACU